rnacentral:rRNA from 1 species
GACGAACGCUGGCGGCGUGCUUAACACAUGCAAGUCGAACGGAAAGGCCCUGCUUUUGUGGGGUGCUCGAGUGGCGAACGGGUGAGUAACACGUGAGUAACCUGCCCUUGACUUUGGGAUAACUUCAGGAAACUGGGACUAAUACCGGAUAGGAGCUCCUGCUGCAUGGUGGGGGUUGGAAAGUUUCGGCGGUUGGGGAUGGACUCGCGGCUUAUCAGCUUGUUGGUGGGGUAGUGGCUUACCAAGGCUUUGACGGGUAGCCGGCCUGAGAGGGUGACCGGCCACAUUGGGACUGAGAUACGGCCCAGACUCCUACGGGAGGCAGCAGUGGGGAAUAUUACACAAUGGGCGGAAGCCUGAUGCAGCAACGCCGCGUGCGGGAUGACGGCCUUCGGGUUGUAAACCGCUUUCGCCUGUGACGAAGCGUGAGUGACGGUAAUGGGUAAAGAAGCACCGGCUAACUACGUGCCAGCAGCCGCGGUGAUACGUAGGGUGCGAGCGUUGUCCGGAUUUAUUGGGCGUAAAGGGCUCGUAGGUGGUUGAUCGCGUCGGAAGUGUAAUCUUGGGGCUUAACCCUGAGCGUGCUUUCGAUACGGGUUGACUUGAGGAAGGUAGGGGAGAAUGGAAUUCCUGGUGGAGCGGUGGAAUGCGCAGAUAUCAGGAGGAACACCAGUGGCGAAGGCGGUUCUCUGGGCCUUUCCUGACGCUGAGGAGCGAAAGCGUGGGGAGCGAACAGGCUUAGAUACCCUGGUAGUCCACGCUGUAAACGGUGGGUACUAGGUGUGGGGUCCAUUCCACGGGUUCCGUGCCGUAGCUAACGCUUUAAGUACCCCGCCUGGGGAGUACGGCCGCAAGGCUAAAACUCAAAGGAAUUGACGGGGCCCCGCACAAGCGGCGGAGCAUGCGGAUUAAUUCGAUGCAACGCGUAGAACCUUACCUGGGUUUGACAUGGAUCGGGAGUGCUCAGAGAUGGGUGUGCCUCUUUUGGGGUCGGUUCACAGGUGGUGCAUGGCUGUCGUCAGCUCGUGUCGUGAGAUGUUGGGUUAAGUCCCGCAACGAGCGCAACCCUUGUUCACUGUUGCCAGCACGUUAUGGUGGGGACUCAGUGGAGACCGCCGGGGUCAACUCGGAGGAAGGUGGGGAUGACGUCAAGUCAUCAUGCCCCUUAUGUCCAGGGCUUCACGCAUGCUACAAUGGCUGGUACAGAGAGUGGCGAGCCUGUGAGGGUGAGCGAAUCUCGGAAAGCCGGUCUCAGUUCGGAUUGGGGUCUGCAACUCGACCUCAUGAAGUCGGAGUCGCUAGUAAUCGCAGAUCAGCAACGCUGCGGUGAAUACGUUCCCGGGGCU